CAUUUUCCCCGAUGAUGUCCAAGAACGUGGCGAACAAGUUGCCCCGUUGCCUGGGUGCUGUGCUGUGCUGUGCGGUUGCUAGACACCGCGAGCUACACACCAUGCUUUACACACCAAAUAACAGAAAGGCCCUCCACAUCGUAGUGGCCGUUGCUUGGUUGUGUUGUUGUGUGACAUCAAAACGCUCGCAGCGCGGGUCAGUGUGAUAGCUGCCGAGAAUCCGGGGCGCAGCAGCGACGGAUGACACCGUAUCAUUCGCCUCGUUCAAACAUCCUACCAUCGAAACUGACCAAAGAAGAAAAAUAUUUCGAUGGAAGCAAGUGGAUAUAAAAAAACGGACAAAUUCUUUGUGGGGCCGGUUUGAGUGUGCGGCAGAGAGAGAGAGAGCGUGUAACCUUCAACCACACACUAUUGCGCUCCCAUGGCCUACCUUGCCUUUGAAAAACGAGAUCGGACGUCACCCGAAGAGACGCGGACACAUCGUUUGAUGGGGUGGUGCUGUUGUGGCCCGUUGAACGACGCCGGGGCAGGAGGGAGGACUAGAUCAGCUAUUUUUGGCACCGAAUUUAUGUAAACGAGCUCGCUCAGUGAUGGUACAACGUGUAGAACAAGGGCAGCGCAGAUAAGUUGGAAUGAACUUGCAGCGAUUUUGUCGCUUUCAAAAGACAUCAAACGACAAGUGUCUAAUAUCGCUCCAGCAUGCCAGUGGUGUUAUGCAAUGGCCAUUUUGCUAUCAAUUUCGCGGACACAGCACACCACCUCGCAGGUAGAAGCGAAUGAUUACGAAGCAGUAAAAAGUACCAUCUCGUCGGCAGAGUAACACAGGUUCGGGACAUGAUUGUGACAGUCAGUAAGAAACGGGUCCGUCCGUUCACGAUAAGCCGGCUCGCGAACGGGCAAGAACAAUUCAAUCUGGUCUGAUCGACCGUACGUACAUCGUCCGUGCAAGUACAUCGGCCCAUCAUCACGCAACAGCGAAACGGGCAGCGCCCGUUUUCUGCCCCAUUCGCCACCAGGUCCCAAGGGUACCACUCCCCCCCCUCCCAGUAAGCACUUUUCUAUGACGACUAAAUGCUGACACACAUCCGGAAGAGUUCAGGCCAAACCGAACAUCCGUUCUUUAGCAACAACAGUUGAAGCGUUCUCUCGCAAUACGAUAAAAGCACAGUAUAAGCACUCAUAUAAAUUUCAUCCGAUAAAAUUGCAUCGGAUCAGCGUACGGACGAGAUUUGUAUCGGAUUUGACAGCUAACGUCGUUUUCAUCGCACGUCCGACGUUAUCAAAACCCAUAAAAUCGCAUCGGAUCAGCCCUGCAGAGAGCCGGGCCCUGCAGAGAUGGCCCUGCAGAGAGGGAGAGAGCACGUGAGCACGUCGGCUGGCUGUAUUCUUUCAUCUAACACAAUGCUAAUUCAUUUAAACUCCAUCGUUUUUUGUACGGGAAAUCUCUUCAGCGUUUCUAUGAUCACCUGGACGAUAGAUCAAGUGUCAAUAAGUGUCUGCUUCGAACAAGUUUGAUUCCAGCUCGGCUCAUGUCAGCCAAACUCUGACUGUUUCAGUUGCUCUAAAACAAAAUUUGAAUAUUUGCUUUAAAAUAGUCAAAGCAUUUCUUCGUUGCUGUUGGAAUUAACCGAAAGAAUUAUAUGCAUGCAAAGGAAACGGAGUAAAUUGAAAUAGUUAUUGUUCUCUCCAGCAUUCAAACCCAAACGGUCAAUUCAAACGGAGUCUUCUAGCCGCCCUUUGUCAGAGUGACCAGAAAUAGUAAUCUAUCUGUAGUCCUACCUAUUCAAAGGUGAGCAUCCU